rnacentral:lncRNA from 1 species
CUUGACUUCAUCGAUGGUCUUGUAGUUGUAAUUGGGGUGUUUGGUUUCAUCGGUGGUCUUGUAGUUGUAACUGGGAUGUUUGACUUCAUCGGUGGUCUCGUAGUUGUAGUUGGGUUGUUUGACUUCAUCGGUGGUCUUGUAGUUGUAGUUUGGUUGUUUGGCAUCAUCAAUGGUCUUGUAGUUGUAGCUGGGUUGUUUGGCUUCAUCGGUGGUCUUGUAGUUGUAGCUGAGUUGUUUGGCUUCAUCGGAUGGUCUUGUAGUUGUAGUUUGGUUGUUUGGCAUCAUCAAUGGUCUUGUAGUUGUAGCUGGGUUGUUUGGCUUCAUCGGUGGUCUUGUAGUUGUAGCUGAGUUGUUUGGCUUCAUCGGUGGUCUUGUAGUUGUAGCUGGGUUGUUUGGCUUCAUUGGUGGUCUUGUAGUUGUAGCUGGGUUGUUUGGCUUCACUGGUGGUCUUGUAGUGGUAGUUGGGGUGUUUGGCUUCGUUGAUGCUCUUGUAGUUGUAGCUGGGGUGUUUGGCUUCACUGGUGGUCUUAUAGGUCUUGUAAAUGUAACUGGGAUGUUUGGCCUCAUCGUUGGUCUUGUAGAUGUAACUGGGUUGUUUGGCCUUAUCGGUGAUCUUAUAGAUGUAACUGGGUUGUUUGUCCUCAUCAGUGGUCUUGUAGAUGUAACUAGGCUGUUUGGCCUCAUAUGAGGUCUUGUAGAUGUAAAUGGGUUGUUUGGACUGAUCGACGGUUUUGUAGAUGUAAUUGGGUUGUUUGGCGUCAUCGACGGUCUUGUAGAUGUAAUUAGGCUGUUUGGCUUCAUCGGUAGUCUUAUAGUAGUAAUUUGACUGUUUGGCUUCACCGACGGUCUUGUAGAUGUAACUGGGUUGUUUGGCCUCAUCGACAGUCUUAUGGUUGUAAUUGGACUGUUUGGUUUCAUCGACAGUCUUGUAGUUGUAAUUGAG